rnacentral:rRNA from 1 species
UACGUAGGGGGCUAGCGUUGUCCGGAAUCAUUGGGCGUAAAGCGCGUGUAGGCGGCCCGGUAAGUCCGCUGUGAAAGUCCAGGGCUCAACCCUGGAAUGCCGGUGGAUACUGUCGGGCUCGAGUCCGGAAGAGGCGAGUGGAAUUCCUGGUGUAGCGGUGAAAUGCGCAGAUAUCAGGAGGAACACCGAUGGCGAAGGCAGCUCGCUGGGACGGUACUGACGCUGAGG